rnacentral:rRNA from 1 species
GAUGAACGCUGGCGGCGUGCCUAAUACAUGCAAGUCGAGCGAACAGACGAGGAGCUUGCUCCUCUUACGUUAGCGGCGGACGGGUGAGUAACACGUGGAUAACCUACCUAUAAGACUGGGAUAACUUCGGGAAACCGGAGCUAAUACCGGAUAAUAUAUUGAACCGCAUGGUUCAAUAGUGAAAGACGGUUUUGCUGUCACUUAUAGAUGGAUCCGCGCCGCAUUAGCUAGUUGGUAAGGUAACGGCUUACCAAGGCGACGAUGCGUAGCCGACCUGAGAGGGUGAUCGGCCACACUGGAACUGAGACGCGGUCCAGACUCCUACGGGAGGCAGCAGUAGGGAAUCUUCCGCAAUGGGCGAAAGCCUGACGGAGCAACGCCGCGUGAGUGAUGAAGGUCUUCGGAUCGUAAAACCCUGUUAUUAGGGAAGAACAAAUGUGUAAGUAAAUAUGCACGUCUUGACGGUACCUACUCAGAAAGCCACGGCUAACUACGUG